AUCCGGCUGACGAGUCCCAAAUAGGACGAAAAGCGCGUCCUGGAU
rfam:Schistosoma margrebowiei strain Zambia genome assembly, scaffold: SMRZ_contig0002195